rnacentral:misc_RNA from 1 species
GAAAUGCGAUACGUAGUGUGAAUUGCAGAAUUCAGUGAAUCAUCGAAACCUUGAACGCAUCUUGCGCUUGUGGUACCCCCACAAGCAUGCCUGUUUGAGUGUCAAUUUUACUCUCACUCAAAAACUCACUUGUUGGGUUUUGUUUGAGUGGAAUUGAGCGUUGGUUCGAAAGACUUCCAUCGCUUGAAAUGAAGUUGGGGUAAUAUGGUGAUUUGGAUUCAUUUCCAUCAAAUCAGCACUCCAAGAGCAUUUGUAGCAUGAAUUCCUCAUGAAACAUGUUUUUUUUGGUUUGUUUUUUUGAUUGAUGGUGGAACUCCUCUUUACUUGCCCUUUUAAAAAUUUUUAAAUAAUUCAACCAUUUGACCUCAAAUCAGGUAAGGCUACCCGCUGAAUUUAA